GGGCAGCAGUUUCCUUUCCGGGGAAGCUGGCGACCGGCGAACGGGUGAGUAACACGUAUGCAACUUACCCCUAACUGGGGGAUAGCCCCGAGAAAUCGGGGUUAAUACUCCAUAUCGUAGUAAAAAGGCAUCUUUUUACUACGAAAGCUCCGGCGGUUAGGGAUAGGCAUGCGGCCCAUUAGCUAGUUGGUGAGGUAACAGCUCACCAAGGCCACGAUGGGUAGCUGAUCUGAGAGGAUGAUCAGCCACAUUGGCACUGAGACACGGGCCAAACUCCUACGGGAGGCAGCAGUAGGGAAUCUUGGUCAAUGGGCGAAAGCCUGAACCAGCCAUGCCGCGUGCAGGAUGAAGGCCCUACGGGUCGUAAACUGCUUUUAAUCGGGAAGAAAAAGUCUGUUUCCACAGACCUUGACGGUACCGAUUGAAUAAGGGCCGGCUAACUCCGUGCCAGCAGCCGCGGUAAUACGGAGGGCCCAAGCGUUAUCCGGAUUCACUGGGUUUAAAGGGUGCGCAGGCGGUCAGGUAAGUCAGUGGUGAAAGCCUCCGGCUCAACCGGAGAAUUGCCAUUGAAACUACUUGACUUGAGUGUAGUCGAGGCAGGCGGAAUGUAGCAUGUAGCGGUGAAAUGCAUAGAUAUGCUACAGAACACCGAUUGCGAAAGCAGCUUGCUAGACUACUACUGACGCUGAGGCACGAAAGCGUGGGUAGCAAACAGGAUUAGAUACCCUGGUAGUCCACGCCGUAAACCAUG
rnacentral:rRNA from 1 species